rnacentral:lncRNA from 1 species
CUUAACCAUGAAUGUACAAGGUAUUUUUUAUAAGGUAGUAAGUAGUUUUUACAAAAUCUGGAAUCUUUAAAGUAGCUCAGAGAAACCUCCGCCUCCCGAGUUCAAGCAAUUCUCCUGCCUCAGCCUCCCGGGUAGCUGGGACUACAGGCGUGCACGACCACACCUGGCUAUUUUUUAUAUUAUAGGCUGGUCUUGAACUCCUGACCUCAUGAUCUGCCUGCCUCGACCUCCCAAAGUGCUGGGAUUACAGGUGUUAGUCACCAUGCCUGGCCGAGAAAAGAAGAUUUAAGAAAGGAAGCUAGAAGUUGUUCAUCGAAGGGAAGAGAAUCAGGAAAUGGUAAAAGUCACAGAUAUUAAGCAGAAAGUACUCAUUCCCUAAAGCCAGGAUUGAACCCUGGCCACCACUGUAAAAUGGUGGAGACCAAAAGAAAGGACUGCCACGUGGUUACAAGGUCAAGCUGCCAAGGACAUAAGACAAGAUGGAGACCUGCAGCACAGUUCGUUACUGACCAGUUUGCGGGGCUGGCUUGAACAGUGGGCUCAUGGGGUACUAGGCCAUGCUCUAUCCUCAGGUAUUCCUCCUUAUGACAGAACCAUGCAGAAAGACACACAAAGUACACCAGAUUGGCUGCAGCUUAAGAUUAGCCUCACAAAUCCUUUUUUUCCAUGCAUCAAAAUCUUACAGAGGAUAUAAACAGUGAUUUUCUCAUUCAUUCAACUGGUUUGCACAGGGAGAGGGAGACCAGAAGUCUGACUGGUAAGAAAUCUUUACCCUUUUGCUGGCAUUUCAGGCUUCUGAGUUCCCUUCACCCAAGCUCAAUUUUAAGCCAAGCAUUUUAAGGGUUGGGGAAAUUAACUCUUCCCAGUUUGGGGGACACAUCCAAGGGGAAUGUCCUAUGUUAGGUACAGGGACACAAUUACCCAUCCCCAAAGAGAGGACAGAGGAGGAAAAAGCAGAAAGAAGGCAUUUUUUUUUUCCAAAAGAAUCACAGUGAUUCAGGAGGCAUUUCAGAGAAGUACAGACUGAAGAAGAUUGGUUACCCAUCUCGAAAGAGGGGAAGAAAGUGUCCCUAGUUACUUUCUCUUCCCAGUGAAUACUCAGGGUAUGUGAGGGAGAGAAAGAAGAGGCAUCUCCAUUUGUUUUUUGGGUCCUUACAUCCCUGAGUCCCAGUGACCUUGGCAGGGUGCUGCCCAUGGGUGCCAAUGAGGCUUUCACCCAUGUUAACAGGGGGUGCCUAGGGGAUGGGAAUUAUCUGCAUUUGCCCACAUGCUGCCUGUCCCCCAUGCUAUCAGUAACCUUUGGGUUCCCCAGACCUCAUUUAUGGCAUGGAUACUAGCAUGACCUCUAUCCUUGAAAUAAGGGGGACUUAAUCAGCAGGAAUUAGUCAGUCACGCUCACCUGUGCUGUGCCCCUUGACUUCCAUUGUCAUCUGCCUCUGGAUCCCUCAGAUCCCGUUUUCCUUACUAGGGCUUCAGUCUGAAGCUUGGAAUUGAGUUUGAGACAAAAAGCUGCCUCAGGAGGGUUUAUGGACUCAUCAAGUCCCAGGUGGUCCUCACCAGACUGCAGCCAGCAGCCAACAGCCAACAGGGUCGCUCCUCUGCUGCUUCCUUAUGUAAGUCAAAUGCUAAAGUAAAGCUGUAGAGCUGGGUCAUCCUCAAACAAGGGAGAGAAAAGGGAGUUCUGUGAUUUUGGGUCCUGGCCUAGUAAAAUGCCUUUCAAAAGGAAAAAAAAAAAAAAAAAAAAAAAACCUCACAUAGAAAAGCUUCCUGUAUUCGCAGGGCUGUGUUAACUACCGACAUGUUGGAGAAAAGAAAAAAAAAAAAACAGCUUAAGUGCAGGGCAGGGAAGGUGCCUGGGGGGAAAAAACUUCUUGCUCUAUGCAAAUGGGUUCCUCCAAAGGGGAGAGAUUCUUAGUCACUGGACCCUCCUUCUCGUUCAGACUGAGCCAUGAGAGGAAAGAUUCAAUGGGUGUGUGGUGGGAGGGGGCGGUGGGCAGAAAAUGCUGACCAGCUGGCUGUGCAGGGCCCCUGGCACCUAAGAUUUCCCUGGGUCCCAGGCAGCAGACACGGCUCACUCCUGCCCUGCGUGGCUGUUGGAUGCAGCACAGGCAUGCGUUGGACACAGCCACAUGCCCCAGCCAGGAGGGGAGGGGGGAGCGGGUAGCUGCGGUGCACCCAUUUGUCCACCAUGUGUGCUUGUGGCUGUUGGGAUGGGGGUAGGGGACGUGCCUCUAAGAACAGAUGAAAAUCACAUUGUUCUGAAUUGCAUAUCUGAUGGCUAGGCCAAAUGCUCAUUCUACCUGGUAAUAUUUCUGCAGUUUGCAACAACACACUUAAUGCUGUAAAAGAAGAGAUAGGAGCCACUUCAAACCAUGAAAGAAGAAAAGAAAAAUACCAUAGAAAAGUCUGCGGGUCUUGGCUGAUGCCAUAAUGGGGUGGUCAGGGGUGGAGCCAAGUCUAGGGGCCUCCUGGCAAUUAAGUCCUCGGCCAGAUGCCUUCAGUUGCCCCAGGACCUUAUUCUGGUUCCACGUGAUGGCUAGACCUCCAUGAAGGGAAACAAAGCCAACAUCUCUUUGACCUGAAAGAGAGAGAGAGGUGGCAGGGUUGUAUCCUGUCCUCUGUAACUGCGUCAUUCAUUCUUAAUUGGCUCACCAGAGGUUUGGUGCUUCAUCUGCCUUCAGAAAAAAGUCUGAGGAUGAGAAGCCUCAGAAACAAAGGUGAAAGAGGGUUUGGGACCACAUUUACUCACCCUCCAGGUAUCCCCAUAUGAGCCACCAAAAUGUUGCAGUCUUUCUGCUCCUCAGCUCAGCUAGGCCUGAGUUUUUGUCUCACAACCAGGAAGAAUUAGGUGUGCAGCUACUGGAGAGUGAGUGGAGUGAAUUCAUUAAGCAAAAGGAAAGCUGUCAGCAAAGAGUGGACCCAGGGGUGGUUCCCCUAUCCGAAGGUGGGAAAGGCCCCCCAUGUGAUUGGGUCUGGGGUCUUUUAUGGACUCAGAAUGGGAAGUGCAUGCUGAUUGGUUUGUGAGUAGGCAAAAAAGGUCAAAGUGAAGACACCACUCAAAGGUGGGCAUGGCAGUGUAGAAAACCAAUUAGGAAAGGGUAGGUCUAUGUAAAAUAGGUGAAGGGUGGGGAUCAAUCAGAGGAAAGUGCAACAAAUGGGAAGACAAGUUUGCAAACUGGUCCGAGGAUUUGACUUGUAGCUUUAGGCUUUAAACUGUCUUCGGCUUGAAGAUGGGGUUUCACCAGUGACCUGCCCCUGUCUGCCUAGGCAUUUGGCUGCCUUCUGCUGCUCUCAGCAGCAACCAUGUGGGGAUAGAGAGAGAGCCUUCCUUCUGUAUGUGCAGGUCCCUGAGUGCAGAGACAGUGAUGACUCCACACAGGCAAAGGCAGGAGAUGCUGGCCUGGAAGUAUCUGCAGAAGGCUCUCCCCUUGGCAUCAGGGGGUGCAGAGACGUUGGCUGAACCAAGAGCUUGCUGAAGGAAGUUUUUUCUAUAUUCCAGACAUCUGAGGGUUCAUCACCAAGAGAGGAGGCCUUGUGAGCAGUGCUGAUCUGGGAAGAAGGAAAUAUGGGCAGAGACAGAGAGGUCAGGGUGACAGCAGGAGCCCAGGGGACUGAGGGAAAAAAAUCACAUUAUUUAGGAGAAGGCAGAGGAGUUGAAGAGAUAGGUUUGGAGCUGACAACUUGGGUUGAAUGCUGCAAGAAAGAGGACUGUUCAUGUAAUUCAGAGUCAAAUACUUAGAGAGGACAGUGGACCAGCAUGAAGGCAGUGGGCUCCCCGGGAGAGGUGUUCCUGCCUGGAUUUAGAGCUUGUGGCUAAAUGAAUAUGGUAGGCAAAAUAAGGCCCCCAAAGAUAGCCACAUGCUAAUUCCUCAAACCUGUGAUCACGUAACCCUAUGUGGCAAAGGGGAUUUGGCAUAUGUGGUUCAAUGAAGGACCUUGAGAUGGGGAGAUUAUCCUAAAGUGUCCAGAUGGGCCCAAUCUAAUCACAUGAAUUGUUUAAAUCAGAGAAACUUUCCCAACUGUGGUCAGAGGGAGACGUGAUCACACACACAAAAAAAGUCAGAGAGAUGCUGGCUUUGAAGACGGAGGAAGGGGCCACAGGGAAUGGAGUGUGGGCAGCCUCUAGAAGCUGAAAAAAAAUCAUGAGGAAAUGGAUUUUUCCCGAGAGCCUUCAGAAAGGGGUGCAGCCUGUGACACUUUGACUUUAGUCCAGUCAGACCUGGCUAAAACUCUGACCUACAGCACUGCAAGGAGUUGGUGGGGUUGGUUUUUUGUUGUUGUUGUUUGUUUUUUUCGUUUUUGUUUUUGAGACAGAGUCUCGCUCUGACACCCAAGCUGGAGUGCAGUGGUGCGAUCUUGGCUCACUGCAACCUCUGCUUCCUGGGUUCAAGCAAUUCUCCUGCCUCAGCCUCCUGAGCAGCCUCCUGAGCAGAUUACAGGCAUGUGCCACCGUGCCCAGCUAAUUUUUUAGAUACCCAGCUAACUUUAAUAGAUACCAGGUUUCACCAUGUUGGCCAGGCUGUCCUUGAACUCCUGACCUCAAAUGAUUUGCCCACCUUGGCCUCCCAAAUGAUCUGCCCACCUUGGCCUCCCAAAGUGCUGAGAUUACAGGCAUGAGCCAUUGUGCCUGGCCUGUGUUAUUUUUAAGUCACCAUCUUUGUAGUGAUUCGUAACAGCAGCAACAGGAAACUCUUCUCUCCACCCACACCCUGCCCUGGCCACCAGCUCCGCCUCCCCAGUGUCUCUGUCCCCACUGCUUCUACCCAGACCAGCUCCUCCCUUCCUCUUUUCUGAACCACUGGCAUACCUACAGCUGGGCCACCUGCUUAGUGCUGCUCCCCUUUAGUCCACUCUGCUAGGUGCUUGAGUUAUCUUCCAAAAACCCAACUUAGAUGAGGACAAUUUCUACUGAAUACUGGUUUUAGUUUCUGUUACUUAAGGAGGUGUGUCCAGAUGUCCCAACUUGGCAUUCAAGCCACAGCUUCCUUCUUGGUCUUCUCUGCCGCUCUCCUUCUUGCCAUGUGCCAGGCAAACAUGUCUCCACACCAGUUCUCUGUGUCCUCCCUCUCCUUCACCACCUCUCCAGCGUUUCCCAUGUCGCCUGGACUGCCUUUCAUCCUCCCUAGUCUAGACAUGCUCAAGGGAUAUUGCUGCUCUUAAGUCACCCCUGCUGGGUAAUAAGAUCUAAAAUUACCCUCUAUAAGACUGCUCACAGCGUCAAGUGGCAUUUUCUGGGGUGAGAAGACCUCAUUCUAUCUUGUUUGCUGACUGCUUUACCAUCUGGCCUCCCCCAGUCCAUGCUAACUCUUCAGGACAGGAAUGGGUCUUGCUUUUCUACAUAUUUCCUUGAGAAAUGCCAGUGGAGAGUGUGCCUUAGUCUGUUCCAGCUGCUGUAACAAAUUGUGAUAGACUGGGUGGCUUAAACAACACAAAUGUAUUUAUCACAUACUGAAGGCUAGAAGUCUGUGAUCAGGGUGCCAGCAUGGUCAGGUUCUGGUGAGAUCCCUCUUCCUGGUUUGCAGAUGGCUGUUUUCUUGCAGUGUUCUCACAUGGGGGAGAGCAGAGACAGGAAGCUCUUGUAUCUCUCUCUCUUUUAUUUUUUUUCACCGAAUCUCACUCAGUCACCCAUGCUGGAGUGCAGUGGUGCGAUCUCAGCCCAAUGCAACCUCUGCCUCCUGGGUUCAAGUGAUUCUCAUGCCUCAGCCUCAUGAGUAGCUGGGACUACAAGCAUACACCACUGCAUCCAACUAAUUUUUGUAUUUUUCCUAGAGACGGGGUUUCACCAUGUUGGCCAGGCUUGUCUCGAACUCCUGACCUCAAGUGAUCCACCUGCCUCAGCCUCCUAAAGUGCUGGGAAUACAGGCAUGAGCCACCGUGCCUAGCCUCUUGUAUCUCUUCUAAGAGCACUAAUCCCAUUCAUGAGGGCUUCACCUUCAUGACCUAAUUCACCUCCUAAAGACUUCACCUCGGCCGGGCACAGUGGCUCAUGCCUGUAAUCCCAGCACUUUGGGGGGCUGAAGUGGGUGGAUCACGAUGUCAGGAGUUCAAGACCAGCCUGGCCAACAUGGCGAAACCCCGUCUCUACUAAAAAUACACUAAUUAGCCAGGCCACGCUACUUGGGAAGCUGAGGCAGGAGAAUUGCUUGAAACCAGAAGGCAGAGGUUGCAGUGAGCCGAGAUCACGCCACUGUGCUCCAGCCUAGGCAACAAGAGCAAAACUCCAUCUCAAAAAAAAAAAAAAAAAAAAACUUCACCUCUUAACACCAUCACAUCAGGGGUUAGGAUCUCAACAUAAAUUUGAGGGGAACAAACAUUCAUUCAGUAGGUAACAGAGGGUGAGCUUAAGUAGCUCAUAGAAAGAGGCAGAGUGGUGGAGACAUCUAAGACCUUUGGAAAAUAAUCCCAAUGGCUACUUUCUACUGCACUUGACAGUUGUCUAAUCAUGUACAAAUCUAUGAGCACAUUUGUGUCUCUCAAGCUGGUUUUACCAAGAAUCUUUAAAUCCAACUGCUGACAUUUACUAAGCACUUGGACUUUAAAACAAACCCCAGGAGGCAGGGAAAAUGCCAAAAGUUUCCCUACAGCUCACUAAAGGGAAGCAAAAAUAAAUUAGAAAAAAAAAAUUAAAAAGGAAGUUGUCAUUCAAAGUUGUCAUUCUCACAAAUGUCAGCUGGUGGAACUGCUACACACAAAUUACACUGUUAACUCCUCACCGUCAGCCUCCGAGACCAUGAUCAUUCUCCCUCCUGAAACAAUGAAAGCAUGGCUUUGAGAAGAGGCGUACCACCUGAGGUUCUGUGGCCAGGACAUGGCAGACUGGGACUAGAGCUGGACAUUUUGCCCCAAGGUGAUGGAUCCCAUCCUGAGCCUUAUACACUUGAGGAAUUUUCUCUACCUUCCUCACACAGAAGCCACUUGCUCACUUGUGUUCCAUCUUGUGUGCUUGAGCUGACAUGUGCAUACACCACCUGUUAUGGGCUGAAGUGUGUCCCUGCCCCAAAUUUAGAUGUUGAAGUCCUCACUCUCAGCACCUUAGAACCUAACCAUGUUUGAAGAAAAAAUCUUCUGAGAGGUAAUUAAGCUACAAUGAAGGCUUCAGGGUGGGCCUUAAUCCAAUGUGACUGGUGUGCUUAUAAGAAGAGGAAAUUUGGACCCAUGGAAAGACAACAGAAGCAUACACAGACAGAGGGACACCGCGUGAAGACACUGUGAAAAGGUGGCCAUCUGCAAGCCAUGGGGAGAAGCCUUGAGAGAAACUAGCCCUGCCAAUGCCUUGAUUUUGGACUGCUAGCCUCUAUAACUGUGAGAAAAUAAAUCUCUGUUGUUUAAGCCACUCUAUCUGUGGUACUUCCUAAUGACAGCUUGGUAUAGUUUGGAUUUGUGUCCCUGCCCAAAUCUCAUGUUGAAUUGGAGGAGGGGCCAAGGGGGAGGUGAUUGGAUCAUGGGGGCGGGUUUUUCUCAUGCUAUUCUCGUGAUAGUGAAUAAGUCUCACGAGAUUUGAUGGUUUUAUAAAGGGGAGUUCCCCUGCACAUGCCUUUUGCCUGCCACCAUGUAAGACAUGACUUUGCUCCUCAUUCACCUUCCACCAUGAUUGUGAGGCCUCCCAAGCCAUGUGGAACUGUGAGUUGAUUACACCUUUUUCCUUUAUAAAUUACCCAGUCUCAGGUAUGUCCUUAUUAGCACUGUGAGAACAGACUAGUACAGAAACAUAGAAACUGGGGGCUGGGGAGUUGCUCCCUGGGGUACCCUCCAAUUGGUGGUCCCAUGAGGCAGGGGCUGUGUCAGGGCUGCUGAGCACACAACAGUGCUCGGAGGUCAUCGGCAGGUGCAGAGCUGAACAGUAUGACUGGCUUGGACUCUUAUGGACUUGGGCAGAAGAGGAGCCUGCAGCCCAUAGGAAUGGGUGGUUUUGCACAAAGGACACUUGUUAGCAGCCCUCAGCCUCAGCCCAGCAUGGCCCAGCCUGGUGAUGCCACACACGGUGCCACCAUGGCCACAGAGCAGCAGAACGGGGUUGGAUUUCAUUAGCUGUGACCCCUGUGACCAGAGCUGCCCUCUGUCCCUCAGACACAAGUAUUUUAAAAGGAAAGUUUUAUUAUUAAUCAGGUACAGUGAGGCCAACAGAUCAGGAGAUGGAUGCCAUUGAAAAGGAAUAGUGCUACACUCACAAAUCCCAGGAGAAGGGGCAGGACACACUAUGGGGCAGGGGGUAUGGGGAGUGGGGGUGGGCACUCGGGGAAGCACCAGGGCCUGGCAGGAGGGGGAGGGGGAGGGGGAAAUGGGCAGGAAACUUUAUUGUGGUUUCCAAGGGAGCAAACAGGUAAGUCAGGCCCAGCAGGCGGAGGGCUGGCUGGUGUGCCUCAUUCCAGUGGGCUCUGGGGUUGUAGGGCUGUCCCUAGUUGUCUGGUUCCUGGCCCUAAGGUAGCUAGGGCAAGAGAACAGUGGCCCAGAGUGUGAGAGCCCCAUAGAGGAGGGGGUUGUGGGUGUGUGGUUGGGAUUGGUUGGUUUGCUUGUGUGAGUUCUUGUGGGAAACUUGUUUGCUGUUUGGGGGAACUGGCUAACCCUGAGAGGGACUCAACCAGCAAAACCAGUAAGUACUCACUGUUCAUCAAAAAAAAAUGCUUCAUCUCUUUGAGCUUCAGAUGCCUCAUUAAAACUAGGGAAAUAAUGCUGACAGCUGACUUCUCAAAAAGAACCUCAGGAAAGUAUACUAGAAGGUAGGGUGCCCACUACCUGCACAGUCUCAGAAGGUAGGAGUAGAAAGAAGGGUAUUGACAGGGCUUUCUCUUCUGAGCUGUGUGAUUUUAAGGCAGCUCUUGAAAGACUGGACCUUUUGAUCAGUGUGCACUGUCAGGCUAGGGUCUUAGAGUGAGUAAUGAUUAGCAAGCUUUUGGUCUUGAUAAGAAAACAGGGCAGCAGCUUUGUUUUCCAGCAGGAAGUAUUUCCUAGAGCAAGCAACUAAAUUAUUUUUCCUAGUUUCAGUAUUGUUUAGCACAGAAACAGGAAGUAUGCUAGUUUCAAUAAUAAUAAUAAUAAUAAUAAUAAUAAUAAUAUUUACUCAUAGGAUUAUUAGGAAAGUCAGGUGAAAUUAUGUAGGAAAUGUGCUUAGCAGAGUCUCUGCUUAAUAAACGUAGCUAUUAAUUAGGGUGAGGCAGCAAAUAACCAGAGCAGAAUGUGAUGAAGCCAUUUGGGUAGGGUGAUCCAUUAUCCUGGUUUAUCUGAGAUUGGAGGUGUUUUGGGAUGGGGAAUUUCAGUGCUAAAACCAGGAAAAUCCCAGGCAAAUGAUGUCAAGUUGGUUAAUCUCGGUUCAAGACAGGAAAACCCAAUUGUUGCACAUAAAUUUUUUGGAAUUUAACUUGGAUUUUUUCUUUUAAGCAUCAGAAAUGUCUAAUAAUGUUUGUGAGUCCCAGAAUAGAACAUGUGGUCCUUAGGGAGUAGGGAGUAAGGUUUCCCAAGUAGCAGAGGCCCUAUCCUGCGGCAGGUGUUUGCUAGAAUCCUGCACUGGGGCCUUUGCUGAGGGUGCUGAGAUAUCCCUUUGGAAGCAUCUCGAAGGCUGCAUUGGAAAUAAAUAAGCCCCGGGAGGAUCACACUGCAGGUGAAACCUGAGACCCUAAGCCAGCCAGAAUCACCUUGGUAUGACAAGCAGAGCUCUGCCUCUUUCUCUCAUUUCUCUCUUCUGUUCAAAGAAAAAACUGAACUGGAAUGAAGAAGCACCCAAAACUGGGGUUAAAAACUAGAUAUUUUGGGUUCAAAGUGAGGUUUUUCUGUCCCUCUUUUUGCACAUAUGGAGCCCAACACUGCUUAGUGAGCUGCUUCUUGCCAAAUGCUUGGACAGCACCAGCCCAUUUAGUUCUCACCAGUGCCCUGCAAGAAGUGUACUAUUACCUUCACAUUACACACCAGGAAAUUAAGGUUGGGAGAGGUUAAGGGACUUGCAAAAGGUCACGGAGCUAUGAAGGGAUGGGGAGCUGGGAUUCAAAUUUGGGUUUGUAAGGAGAGAAGAGACGUCUUUCUUCUCAGCCUAGUAAGUGUGGGAGAUCAACCGCAGGGUGAUCGGAUCUCCAAGAUGAAUGAGUCAACAGGACUUUCAAAGCACUAUCUGAAGGUAAACAAGUCAGUAUCAUCUCUCCUUAGGGUCUGUGAGUUACUUUUGCUCUCUUGAGGGAGAAACUGAAAUCUACACCGAAUUGAGCGAAUUGAGCCCAAAGCAGGGGCUCAAGUUUCUCUCAGCCUUCCUUUGCUUACAGCCCUGAGGGGAUCCUGGCUGGGUGCUAUUUCCAGGAGGGUCUCUCCCUCAGCAGGGAAAGGAGAGCAGGAUUUGCAGAAGCUCCAGUUGGAGACAGAGCCCUGGGGGCGGGGGUUGGUGGAUAGGGGUAGGCACUUGGCUUAAGCCAGAUCUGAACUGUUUCCUUCUAUCCUGCUCCUGGGGCAGGAGGCCCCCUGCAAGGCCCUAACUAUACUGAUCUUAUCUCCUCCUGGGGAAUUUUCCCACAGGGAGGCAGGAAAGGUCAGCAGUGUGUCCUGAGAGCCCUAAGGCAGGCCCACCCACUUCUACCACAUGAGUGCUUUGGGAGAGGUACUGGAGGCCACACCUGUAAACCCAAUAGGUCCUUUUAAUACAUACCAGGGAGCUGCAACUGGGGGAUGCCACCGUGGUGCUGGGCCUGCAAGGGAGCCCCCAGGAGACUCUAUUAAGCUCCCAUUUGACAAGUUUUAAAACUGGCCCAACCCAGGCAUGUGCACAGGAUCAGAAGCCCCAUCUCUCUAAAUUACUAGGUUGAAAUGCCACAUCUUAACGACUCAUGCACCGUCCACACUACUGCUGCGGUAUCUGUGUCCCACCAGGGCUGUGUUUGAUUUUUUAAAUGAACUCGAUUUGUUUUAUUGUUUUGUAAUUUGAACAUGUAGAGAUGGAGGUAAAUAGAAAACCGGCAUCUGUGUAUUACACAUAGAAAGUCACCAUAAAAAUAAACACAAUGAAUACUCUUCAGCAAAGGGAAUGAAAAAUCUACAACUACAUACCACUGAACACAAAUGGAAAUCACCAACAGGUUGAGGGAGAGAAGCUGAGCCCAGGUUUGGAGGGGCAUUGGAAAGGAAAUGACUUUCUCACUGUGCAAUGCCAGGCUUUGUUCAAGCAUUUGGGAAAACAAUGAGGAGGCAGCUUAUUCCCAGCUCCAGGCAGGAGGAGACCUGCAGAGGGUGAGAUUCUCAGGGGAGGAACUGCCAGAAGCCUAAGAGCCUUUUUCCAGAGCUGCCUCCAGGAGAGAAGGUGAUCUACCUGGCUCCGGAUCAAGUCCUUUCUGCUCAGAACAAGCUUUCUGCACUUGUAGGGUGGGUGAUUUUAGAGAUUUGGAGAGUCAAUCUUUGCUUCUUUCCUUUUUUCUCUCUCUCCUUCCCAGUCCCACCCACUCUAAUCCCAGCUCCUGUUUGUCCAAGCCCCUCAAGCAAGACUCUCUUUAGUGAGUGAAAGCUGACAAUGUGAGUCUCAGCCUCCUUCCCAGGAGCAGCUAAGCUGACAGAUCCUUGAUCUUGAGAAGCCCUCGCAGCUCC